GGGCCGUUAGCUCAAUUGGUAGAGCAAGUGACUCUUAAUCACUAGGUUAAAGGUUCGAGUCCUUUACGGCUCA
rnacentral:tRNA from 2 species